rnacentral:rRNA from 1 species
ACGGAGUUGUGAGUUUUUGCAAAUUCGKUUGCCCUUCUUCUCAACUCUGUCAUAGAUGGGAACGGUGUCCUGCGGACGCGCUCCUUCACUGGAGUGCUGAUGCUGUUAGGUGAAGAGCUUGACAUUUCGCGUGCGACGCACGCCUGACUGCCCAUCGUUAUCACUGUGAGAAAAACAGCGUGUUCAAGGCAGCCGCUUGCGGUUGUAUGACAAAGCAUGGAAUGACAAAGCAUCGACCAGUGGGUCUGUCUUUUGUCGGUUUUUACGAUUCAUUUGGAUAAUUUGUUUCCAAAGCAUUCUGCUUACCGUUCGCGGUUUCAGAACUUUGGCGAACACGGGAUUAAUGGGGGUUGUCGGGGGAAAACGUAUC